rnacentral:rRNA from 1 species
UUGCUCCCUGAUGUUAGCGGCGGACGGGUGAGUAACACGUGGGUAACCUGCCUGUAAGACUGGGAUAACUCCGGGAAACCGGGGCUAAUACCGGAUGCUUGUUUGAACCGCAUGGUUCAAACAUAAAAGGUGGCUUCGGCUACCACUUACAGAUGGACCCGCGGCGCAUUAGCUAGUUGGUGAGGUAACGGCUCACCAAGGCAACGAUGCGUAGCCGACCUGAGAGGGUGAUCGGCCACACUGGGACUGAGACACGGCCCAGACUCCUACGGGAGGCAGCAGUAGGGAAUCUUCCGCAAUGGACGAAAGUCUGACGGAGCAACGCCGCGUGAGUGAUGAAGGUUUUCGGAUCGUAAAGCUCUGUUGUUAGGGAAGAACAAGUACCGUUCGAAUAGGGCGGUACCUUGACGGUACCUAACCAGAAAGCCACGGCUAACUACGUGCCAGCAGCCGCGGUAAUACGUAGGUGGCAAGCGUUGUCCGGAAUUAUUGGGCGUAAAGGGCUCGCAGGCGGUUUCUUAAGUCUGAUGUGAAAGCCCCCGGCUCAACCGGGGAGGGUCAUUGGAAACUGGGGAACUUGAGUGCAGAAGAGGAGAGUGGAAUUCCACGUGUAGCGGUGAAAUGCGUAGAGAUGUGGAGGAACACCAGUGGCGAAGGCGACUCUCUGGUCUGUAACUGACGCUGAGGAGCGAAAGCGUGGGGAGCGAACAGGAUUAGAUACCCUGGUAGUCCACGCCGUAAACGAUGAGUGCUAAGUGUUAGGGGGUUUCCGCCCCUUAGUGCUGCAGCUAACGCAUUAAGCACUCCGCCUGGGGAGUACGGUCGCAAGACUGAAACUCAAAGGAAUUGA